AUUGAACGCUGGCGGUAUGCUUAACACAUGCAAGUCGAACGGUAGCACGGUCUAGCUUGCUAGAUGGGUGACGAGUGGCGAACGGGUGAGUAACGCGUAGGAAUAUGCCUUAAAGAGGGGGAUAACUUGGGGAAACUCAAGCUAAUACCGCAUAAUCCCUUAGGAGAAAAGCUGGGGACCUUCGUGCCUGGCGCUUUACGAUUAGCCUGCGUCCGAUUAGCUAGUUGGUAGGGUAAAGGCCUACCAAGGCGACGAUCGGUAGCUGGUCUGAGAGGAUGACAGGCCACACUGGGACGGCGACACGGUCAAGACUCCGACGGGAGGCAGCAGUGGGGAAUAGUGGACAAUGGGGGCAACCCGGAUCCAGCAAUACCGCGUGUGUGAAGAAGGCCUGAGGGUUGUAAAGCACUUUUAGUGGGGAGGAGGGUUGAUUGGUUAAGAGCUGAUUGACUGGACGUUACCCACAGAAAAAGCACCGGCUAACUCCGUGCCAGCAGCCGCAGUAACAC
rnacentral:rRNA from 1 species